rnacentral:rRNA from 1 species
GACGAACGCUGGCGGCGUGCUUAACACAUGCAAGUCGAACGAUGAAGCCGGAGCUUGCUCUGGUGAAUUAGUGGCGAACGGGUGAGUAACACGUGAGUAACCUGCCCUUGACUCUGGGAUAACUGCGGGAAACUGUAGCUGAUACCGGAUACGACCCUCGGAGGCAUCUCCUGGGGGUGGAAAGAAUUUCGGUCAAGGAUGGACUCGCGGCCUAUCAGCUAGUUGGUGAGGUAAAGGCGCACCAAGGCGACGACGGGUAGCCGGCCUGAGAGGGUGACCGGCCACACUGGGACUGAGACACGGCCCAGACUCCUACGGGAGGCAGCAGUGGGGAAUAUUGCACAAUGGGCGCAAGCCUGAUGCAGCAACGCCGCGUGAGGGAUGACGGCCUUCGGGUUGUAAACCUCUUUUAGCAGGGAAGAAGCGAAAGUGACGGUACCUGCAGAAAAAGCACCGGCUAACUACGUGCCAGCCGCCGCGGUAA